UAGGGAAUCUUCGGCAAUGGACGAAAGUCUGACCGAGCAACGCCGCGUGAGUGAAGAAGGUUUUCGGAUCGUAAAACUCUGUUGGUAGAGAAGAACGUUGGUGAGAGUGGAAAGCUCAUCAAGUGACGGUAACUACCCAGAAAGGGACGGCUAACUACGUGCCAGCAGCCGCGGUAAUACGUAGGUCCCGAGCGUUGUCCGGAUUUAUUGGGCGUAAAGCGAGCGCAGGUGGUUUAUUAAGUCUGGUGUAAAAGGCAGUGGCUCAACCAUUGUAUGCAUUGGAAACUGGUAGACUUGAGUGCAGGAGAGGAGAGUGGAAUUCCAUGUGUAGCGGUGAAAUGCGUAGAUAUAUGGAGGAACACCGGUGGCGAAAGCGGCUCUCUGGCCUAUAACUGACACUGAGGCUCGAAAGCGUAGGGAGCAAACAGGAUUAGAUACCCUUGUAGUCCCUGAGCGGGCUGGCAAGGCGCAU
rnacentral:rRNA from 1 species